rnacentral:rRNA from 1 species
UACGAAGGGGGCUAGCGUUGUUCGGAUUCACUGGGCGUAAAGGGUGCGUAGGUGGCCUGAAAAGUUUGAUGUGAAAGCUCAGGGCUUAACCCUGAAAUGGCAUUGAAUACUGUUGGGCUGGAGGUUUGGAGGGGGGACUGGAAUUCUUGGUGUAGCAGUGAAAUGCGUAGAUAUCAAGAGGAACACCAGUGGCGAAGGCGAGUCCCUGGACAACACCUGACACUGAGGCACGAAAGCUAGGGGAGCAAACAGG